GACAGAGGGUGCAAACGUUGUUCGGAAUUACUGGGCGUAAGGGGCGCGUAGGCGGCCUUCUAAGUCAGACGUGAAAUCCCCCGGCUUAACCUGGGAACUGCGUCUGAUACUGGAAGGCUUGAGUAUGGGAGAGGGAUGUAGAAUUCCAGGUGUAGCGGUGAAAUGCGUAGAUAUCUGGAGGAAUACCGGUGGCGAAGGCGGCAUCCUGGACCAUUACUGACGCUGAGGCGCGAAAGCUAGGGGAGCAAACGGGG
rnacentral:rRNA from 1 species